rnacentral:misc_RNA from 1 species
UUUCCGUAGGUGAACCUGCGGAAGGAUCAUUAUUGUAUAACCGAGGUGCGAGGGCUGUCGCUGACCCGAAAGGUCGUGCACGCCCGAGUGCCCUCACACACAUCCACCUCACCCCUAUGUGCACCACCGCGUGGGUCCCCCUUUGGCUUGUUCGGAGGGGGGCUUACGUUUUCACACAAACUUUGUAUGCAGUGUAGAAUGUAUUUUUUGUUCUUGCGAUCACGCAAUCAAUACAACUUUCAACAACGGAUCUCUUGGCUCUC